GACCGGCGCACGGGUGCGUAACACGUAUGCAACCUACCUUUUACUGGGGUAUAGCUCAGAGAAAUCUGAAUUAAUCCCCCAUAAUGUUAUUGAAUGGCAUCAUUUAAUAACUAAAGCUACGGCGGUAAAAGAUGGGCAUGCGUUGUAUUAGCUAGUUGGUGAGGUAAUGGCUCACCAAGGCUACGAUACAUAGGGGUUCUGAGAGGAUGAUCCCCCACACUGGUACUGAGACACGGACCAGACUCCUACGGGAGGCAGCAGUAGGGAAUAUUGGUCAAUGGACGCAAGUCUGAACCAGCCAUGCCGCGUGCAGGAAGACGGCCCUCUGGGUUGUAAACUGCUUUUAUAUGGGAAGAAACCUCGGGAUGCGUUCCGAGCUGACGGUACCAUAUGAAUAAGGAUCGGCUAACUUCGUGCCAGCAGCCGCGGUAAGACGAAGGAUCCAAGCGUUGUCCGGAUUUACUGGGUUUAAAGGGUGCGUAGGCGGAAAAUUAAGUCAGUGGUGAAAUCCCGUAGCUCAACUACGGAACUGCCAAUGAAACUGAUUUUCUUGAAUAUGGUUGAGGUAGAUGGAAUAUAACAUGUAGCGGUGAAAUGCUUAGAUAUGUUAUAGAACACCAAUUGCGAAGGCAGUCUACUAAGUCAUUAUUGACGCUGAGGCACGAAAGCGUGGGGAGCGAACAGGAUUAGAUACCCUGGUAGUCCACGCCGUAAACGUUGAUUACUCGCUGUUGGCAAUACACUGUCAGCGGCUAAGCGAAAGCGUUAAGUAAUCCACCUGGGAAGUACGACCGCAAGGUUGAAACUCAAAGGAAUUGACGGGGGCCCGCACAAGCGGAGGAGCAUGUGGUUUAAUUCGAUGAUACGCGAGGAACCUUACCUGGGC
rnacentral:rRNA from 1 species